CAGUCGCCGCGGGAAUACGGAGGGUGCAAGCGUUAAUCGGAAUUACUGGGCGUAAAGCGCACGCAGGCGGUCUGACAAGUCAGAUGUGAAAUCCCCGGGCUUAACCUGGGAACUGCAUUUGAAACUGUCAGGCUGGAGUCUUGUAGAGGGGGGUGGAAUUCCAGGUGUAGCGGUGAAAUGCGUAGAGAUCUGGAGGAAUACCGGUGGCGAAGGCGGCCCCCUGGACAAAGACUGACGCUCAGGUGCGAAAGCGUGGGGAGCAAACAGGAUUAGAUACCCGGGUAGUCCCUGUCUCUUAUAU
rnacentral:rRNA from 1 species